rnacentral:rRNA from 1 species
AACGAACGCUGGCGGCAUGCCUAACACAUGCAAGUCGAACGAGAUCUUCGGGUCUAGUUGCUCACGGGUGCGUAACGCGUGGGAACCUGCCCUUAGGGUCGGAAUAACGCCCCGAAAGGGGUGCUAAUACCGGAUAAUGUCUGCGGACCAAAGAUUUAUCGCCUUUGGAUGGGCCCGCGUUGGAUUAGCUAGUUGGUAGGGUAAAAGCCUACCAAGGCGAAGAUCCAUAGCUGGUCUGAGAGGAGGAUCAGCCACACUGGGACUGAGAACCGGCCCAGAAUCCUACGGGAGGCAGCAGUGGGGAAUAUUGGAAAAUUGGCGAAAGCCUGAUCCAGCAAUGCCGCGUGAGUGAUGAAGGCCUUAGGGUUGUAAAGCUCUUUUACACGGGAUGAUAAUGACAGUACCGGGAGAAUAAGCUCCGGCUAACUCCGUG